GAAAGAGUUCGGGAACAGGUAAGGGGCUUAUUUGCUAAGCCUAGAUGAGUCACUUGCUGGAUUAAAAACAUAUAUUCGUGAAGAACUAGUCAGAAAUGUGCCACGUCAAGACCCCAUUUGUUCCAGGCCAUGUUUUGAUUUAGGAAGCAGCCUAUUUGACAUGUCCGUGAAAAGGAAGAGUGUUGAUUCUUUCACUCAUGAAACUACAUGAACUUCCAGAGCUCUCCAAUCCCCAGAGCCUUGACCGGAGGAGACACAAAAGAAGUAGAGAGCGACCUUUGCUUUCAAGGAGAUUAUGAUUCAAUUUUGAAAGAGAAUGCAAAAUUGCCCAAACCUCCAUAAAUCAAGUGGGAGGAGGACUCCGUCUUAGAGGUGUUGAUCGGAUCAUCAUAGCUGGCCUGCACUCUGGAGUGAAGAUGGCCAGUGUUGGGCACAAUUAAUUCAUCCAUAGAAGGAAGAAGACAUUGAGGAAAAUAUCUCAAUGAAGUAAUGGAUUUAGAUGGUGUCAGGAACAUCUAAACAACACAGCACUUGCUUCUACAUCAAACGUGACAUUUGGCAUUGAGGCAGUCAAGAUAAGAUAUGCUCAGCAAGUCUGUGAAUGCCGAAUGCUGGGGAGCCCUGGAUUCCUGCAGAGUCAUUGAGAGGUUCGCCUUCACUGGCCUCUGUCUCCCAUGCAGGGACAAUUGUAUGAAAGCCCUUUCUCACCUCCAUCCGCCUCCAUGUGACCUUAUCCUUGGGCUGUUUCCUGUCUGCCCCACUGGUGACUGCUGGUCAGACUUUCUUAGGACGAAGCUUCCAGAGCUUUAUCUACUUCCUCUCCCGGCUGAUCAGGAGGUCUUAUUUGUGCAGCGAGUCUCCCUGAGCCUGAGACACAAGUUCUGAUAGACAACGCUGCCUUAUGAAGCGCCCAAGAUUGAUCAUGUGAAGUAGCACAAAAGAAGAAGCCUACUGUUUCUUCCCCAAAUGGAUUACUAUUAAAUUAAUAUGGAACAUUCUCUGAAGGUGCCAGAAAGGCCUUGGAGAGGAAUGAGCAUUAUAAUACUACCAGGAGAAUUGCAGCUCUUAAAAAUGGUCAUGGCCGCUCAAAGCCAUCUUGCUCCAUCUGGAGAGAGUCUAUGAAAGUCAUCAACUGCCACGUGGAAGCUUAAUAAGGAAGGGACACUGCUGAGUCCUACAUACAGAAAUUGGUAAGAUAGACCUGAGCUUUUGCUGGGAAGAGAGAGAGUGAGAAGAACUUUUCGCUGAAGAGACUUUCAAGGUGGAAGAUGUCCAAGUUGCUUUGUCUACAUGACGGUGGCCAGGAGAGUGAGGAAACCGAGCCCAAGAAGGUUUAGGAACUCUCCCAGUCUCACAUAGUUGAUCGGUGAUGGAGCCAGGGUAUAAAACUCAAAGCUUGUGAUUUAAUUACCAUACUCUAUUAUCUCGCUGUGUAACCACUAUUUAUGGGGUCCUUACUAAGCACCAGGCAACUUUAGAUGCCUUCUCUUGUAAGUGAUCUAGCAGCUCUAUAAGGACUUAAAUAGCUACAUAACUUACUAGCUGUGCGACUGCCAGUUAACGUGCCUGAGCCAUACUUACUUCAUCUCUCACAUAACACUAAUAGUACUUUUCGAUCUCUGCCCCACAAUUACUGUGAAGAAUUUAUGAGAGAAGGAAUAUGAAAAUAAUCUUUAAACCAGGAAGCACGAUGUAAUGGUAUACAUUGUAAGCGUGGAAACGUUAUUACUCCAUUAAUUAGAUAAUUUUCCAGAUGAGAAAUCUUAGGAAAAGAGAGGUAGAUGUAACUUCAGCCACAAGUGUCCCCUGUGUGUCAGGCACUGUCCUUAGCACCUGGUGGAGUGGUCUGCCCAAGGUCUCCUGGUUCAUUAGGGGCACAUCUGGAAUUAGAGUUGGGCGCGUUCCCUCGAGAUGGAGUGAAGAGUGCUUUCUAAGACAUUCCUUGUCCCAGAGGUGAGGUACUAAGCUGAAGAUGGUGAUACCCAAAGUUGCUGCUGAAUUUAAGAAUGGAAUUUAUUUCAUGCGAACUUUCCCUCCUGGAGUUUUAUACCAGUCUGGUUGCCUUUUGCCGGGCAUUGCCCUAGUCCUGCAGUAUUGUAUGAUUUUCCAGUGUAGUAGAUGAUAUCCAGAUUUCUUUAGCCUCUUUUAGAAAUUUCUUGCUAUAAAGUGCUGGAUCUGGAGCUUUUUAAUAUUCAAUCAUUGAUUUACUUUUUAAACAAAUGGAAAUGGAAGCAAGAUGUUUGGUUUGAGAACCUUCAUGGUUUGCCCAUGCCGAUUUUGCAGGUGCCCAAGUGCCACAUAUGUUUUCUUGGGGACACAGAGUCACAGAAAGCAAGGCUCAGGUCGCCACUUGUGUUUUUUAUCUGCUGGUAUGUACUCUAUGGGGAGAUAGAUGGUCUUCUGUCCUCUCUCCCAAAUAAUGAGACAGGAUACCCAGGGCACGAGUCAGCGACAAGGGCUCUCUGGAUUAUCUUCCCUCUUGCCGCUGGCUCUCACUGGACCCUCAGAGGGGGAGGAUCAUUAUCCUUCGCCGGACUGGAUGAUGUUUGGAAGAAUGUGGCUGCAGUAAGGAUAUAUUUGAGAUAAUGAGGAAGAGACUUAUACCAGGGAAACAAGGCUUUUCGUAGCGGGCCUCUGAGGCUCGGGCAAACAAACUCAAGGCUGAGCUAUUCGCAGCCAAUUUUUUAAAGUGAUAUUCAGGUAACAAUUUGAGCGAAUAGAAAAAUUAUUUUAGCAAAAAAUCUCAAAACAAAUCAAUGCAUAGACUAGAGAUGAGUAAUUUCAUGGGUUAGCGCAAAGCUAUUAACCAAUAACACGAAAGCAAAUUCCUAUUAUUAAAGAAUUCUAUUGCGAAGUUACAGAAAAUUCAUGACUUUCCUAGAAGGAAAAUGAGCACUUGUUUUAUUUACAUUAAAAAAAGUCAUGUUUAAGAUUCCUUACAAGUGGUAUGUGUGUUUAUGUAUGUGUAUGUAUUUAAUUAAACAAAUUAAUUAAAUUAAUUAAACAAAGUUUAACUUAAAUGUAUAUUUAAUUAAAAACAUGUAUUUAAUUAAAUACAUGCUUAAUUAAAUGUGGUUUAAUUUGUUUAUUCAUCUCAAAUUAUAGAGCAGUCUGUAGUUUAGAUGGGACAUGGUUUCUAUCAGUCUUGACCUGUUUUUCAGAUGUCUUAUUUUUUUGAAUGGGUAAGAGAAGAAGAGAUGGCAAUAAUAAUAAUAAAAUUAAUGAUAAUAGUAAUAAUAAUAACAUUUGUAUAGUGCUUUGCAGGGUUAAUCUCUUUUAAACUUCGAAACUCAGAGAGAGGGUUUUUGACCAGGGAGUCAGGCAGGCCAGGCAUUAUUAUCGUUAUUUUUUAUGAUUGAAUAUUUUUUUUAUCAUAGUCAUGUUAAAAAACUUAAAGUCAAAUAUUUUUGAAUUAAUAAAGCAAGUAGGAUUUUACUUACAAAACAUAACAGGUUUCUGGUAAAACACUGCCCUAGUUGGCAACACAUAUUAUGUGAGAAAGGCACGUGACACAGCUGUGUAUAAAGACUAGUGCGAGGUGGUUGCUUAGAAAACCCCAUUCUCUUCCUUCCCUGGGCAUGGCUGUGUCGUUAGUGCCUGGCGCUCUGCUAGGUCAUCUGGAGGAAACACAGUGUGUUUAGGACGUGCUGCAUGCCCUCAUGCUGUCUGUGAUCUGACUGGAAAGAAAGAGCAUGGCCAUCUCUGAAGCAGGAACUGUGGCUAGAGCUGCCCGGGUCAUGCACCCACCCUGGAGUUGUGGCGCAGGUAAGCCCACCCCAGCCACAUACACCGAGAGGGUGAAGGGCAGUUCCCCAAAGUAAAGUCAAACUAUCGUUUCCAGGUAAAAAGUGAAUGGAUUAUGGGCAACAGAUGUCCAUCCCAGGUGCUUCUUCUGAUGUCCCUAGAGUUAAAAAGUCCCAGGUGUUCCCACUCUCCAAAGCCCUCCCUGUUUCUCUCAACUCUCCUCUCUCCCAGUGCAAUUCUGUCAUUUCUAGUUGCAAAACGGAAUGCGUUUCCCCCAUAGAAACAGGGUUAUAAAUGCUGGUUAAGCGUAGUUAAUAUGGUACCAUUUUUAGUGUAUAGUUCAAAUACAUUAACUUUAAAGAGCCUUUUGUGGGUAGUUUUGAGGAUUUAACCAUAAUUUAUAAUACAGUGUCUAUGUGAAAAUAUGUGCUGAGAAACCGAACACUCAAACCAACAGACAAACUCUUGGAACGUAAGCUGGGCUUGUAGGAGUAUGAUUGAUGCUAAAUUGCGCAAUAGAACCUGGAAGGGCUGAGACUGCUCAGAGAAAGGGGAGUUCCGUUGGAGCUCUGUGGGCCUGGGGAAGGGGUGGGUACAUGAUGCUAUCAGUCCAUCAGCCUCUUGAUAGCAUCAAAAUCUGACUCAUGUUUCCCACAUAGCAUCCUGUGGAUAUAAGGGUGACCUGAGUCUCACGUCUCAGGGCCGCUGAUCUGGUGCUGACCAGAUAGCACUUCUUUCCUCUCCCGUUACCCCAACUAUGUCCCACCUGAAACUACAUCUUUACUUGAAAACGAGAGGAGGAAUAUAUUUUGAUUAAGAGGUCUUUUCUAUUUGUUUCAAACAUUUUAAAUACAAAAAUAUAAGAAAAUGUAAAAUGUUUUACAUAGAAUAUAAGAGUGAAAAUUCCCCCACCUUUACCCCAGUGCUGCCCCCCCGCAGUGAAGUAUUCACUGCUUCGUAUAUUUCAGGGCUCAUUUUAUAAAAUGAAUUUCUUAAUGUGAAAAUAAGUUACAUCUCCUAGUUUUAUCAACAUCAGGCAAUGUGGGCAGGAAAAGUGUCUAUAAUGGUUCAGGACUUUUCUGUUCCAGCCCAGUGGUUUAUUACAGUUUGAAUGGGAGUAGGCAUGGAUGUUGGGGAGACGGAGGGAGAAUUGAAAGAUGAGUAGAGUAAGUGUAGUUUGAGAGGUUCUACACGUCUAAUACGGUAUCUCCUCCUGCUUUGAAAAUCAUUGCUUCCUAUUUCAAAGUAGGCCAUACCUGACCUCUCCAUGGUUUACGGCACGUGUUCUUUAACUGAUGGCCUGUUUUUAAACAAUAUCACACCACUUAUUUAAGAAUGCUUUCAUUUUCUAAGUGUUUCACUAUUGCUUUCAUAAUUUUUCUUCUAUGUGUAUUAAACCCACGAUACGUUUUUUACUUUAGUUAUUUAUCUUUUGAUGGAACUAAAAAAAUUAAUAAGUAUUUUAUAUUUACCCACAUAUACACCAUUUCCUGCAGUCUUCAUUCUUUUUUUUAUGAUCCAAAUUUCCGUUUCAAAUUGAGGAGGUGACUGAAUGAAGCCUUGGUGAGUCUCGUGCACGGCAGGUGUUUGCAGAGAAGCAACCACAAGUUCCGGAUCCCCAGGCGGGAGUUGGUACAGAAGCACCGAGAGAAGUGGUGGACUGGGGGAGGCCUGUAGCCUAGACUGGAAAGCCAUGCACCACAGGACAUUCAGAUGGAGGUUGCGGUGGUGACCUGGACUGUAGUCAUGGUGACUGUCUGUUGAUGUGAUCAGGGGGUGGGGACUUUGAGCCACAUAUCAGUCUAACUUCUCACCCUCUGGGUUGGGUAGAGGGGGCUGGAUAUCGAGUUGACUCUUAUGGCCCGUGGUUCAAUCAAUCAUGCCUACAUAAUAAAACCCCAAUAACAACUCUGGACACUGAAACUUGGCAGAACAUCCAGGUUGUUGAACUCAUUGAUUUGCUGGCGGGAUGACACUGAUUCUAUGGGGAAAGGGCUCAUGAGUUCUACAAUUGGGACCCUUCCAGACCUCACCUUAUGUGUCCCUUCAUUUGACCGGUCCUGAUUUGUACCUUUUAUAAUAAAACUGUAAUUGUAAAUAUA
rnacentral:lncRNA from 1 species